rnacentral:lncRNA from 1 species
GUAAAAAGCGGCGGCGGUCUUCACAGAAAUCGAUGGCGCGCUCGCGCGCGCAUUGCAUCAUGGGAAACCUGGAUGGGUCGGCGGCUAGGCCUUCAUCCGAGACUGCCGCACGUUCCGCUUAAAAAAAAAAAAAAGCGACAGGCGCCGUACGGAGGUUCACCAAGAGUCACGCGUAAGCACGCCUUGGUUCCGUUGCGUGCUUAUAGCAAAACAGGAAACUAUCUUCCGUUUUCGAACGAGGCGACAAGAUCGUCGCCGUUCAUCGCUUCCCAACUGGCUCCUCGACGCACGCUCCUGCCGUCUUCGAUGAGCUUCAAGAGCGGCUUCUACUACUUCGUGCUGUUCGUGAUAUGGUGCGCCAUAGGCCUGUGCUUGCUCGUGUUCGUGCGGUGGGUGCUGAGCUACUCGUCGACCAAGUGAACGCGGUUCGGCGAGCGGGCCACUCCGCGUGGAUGCUGAAGUCCGCGACGACGGAUCCCAAGCGGAAAAAGAGGCGCCGGAAGAGGACGAAGAUGGUCGACUGAAUCGAAACGAGGCGUGCCUUCCUCGAAGGGUCUCGCCCGGCGCUACGUUUUGUAGUCUGUCCACGUGGGACGUCAAGUCGAGACGUCCGGGUCGUCGAUCAGUACACACACACACACGCUCAAUAACCUCCAGCAGCAGCAGAGAGCCCGUUAGAGUCGUCUUGUGAAUCGUUAUUAUAGCUUGCGGCGCGCACGGUGUCAAUCGUCGGAUACCAGCCGGUGGAGCGACGGCGUGACUAUCGCAGUCCGCGACAGCAGUGUAGACGCGUGUUUCGUAUAGUCGUCGAGGCUCCGAGGAAGCCUUCACCGUUAUAAUUUCGCUCGGCAACGGUGGUAGACUCGUAGCAAGAAACUGCAUAUUAACGCUAUCGUCUGAUUUGUGGCCACAGGAAGAGCAGUGCUCCUGGCGACACGUGCCAAAAGCCCCACCACCGCAACACACUGCAAGAAACUAGCAGAAAACGUUCUCUACAGCGGUGUCUGGCCAUGGUGCAUCAAGACUACAGGUCACACAACGUACGGAGAAAGUCAAAGGACCGCUUUCCCUGAAGCAAAGUUCAGCCCAAACGAAAGACGCAGCCAGCGAUCGAGAUGGAUGCCGAGGCUCAGAACAACUGUUCGUUUCUACUUGAUUGACGCAAGAGCCACAUCAGAGGCUGUUAGCGUUAACUCUUACAACAUAUGCCGCUUACGUUAAAAACGCGAGUAGCGCAUUUCUUUUAUGACUCGACAGAGUACUGACCCGUCAUUGCAGGUGCGAAGUAUCAGCAAUG